rnacentral:rRNA from 1 species
UACAGAGGGUGCAAGCGUUAAUCGGAAUUACUGGGCGUAAAGCGUGCGUAGACGGUUAUGUAAGUCAGGUGUGAAAGCCCCGGGCUCAACCUGGGAAUUGCAUUUGAGACUGCAUAGCUAGGGUGCGGAAGAGGGAAGCGGAAUUUCCGGUGUAGCGGUGAAAUGCGUAGAUAUUCGGAAGAACACCAGUGGCGAAGGCGGCUCACUGGCCCGGUACUGACGCUGAGAUACGAAAGCGUGGGGAGCAAACAGG